UUCUGCUCCUUUCAGGCUAUAAAACCCGACCACUCGAGAUGUUUCAGUCUCCCAGAAACAAGAAUGCAGUUCAGUUCUCCAACAUCACCUCCCAGUUCAGCCCAGUGAAUCAUCGUGCAGCCUGCCAGAGGGUUGUCUCUGAUGUUUUAAGCCUGCAAAAUCCUUCUUUAUUCCCUGGCUUCACUGGGUGUGUGCCAAACACAAACUGGAUGUUAAAUCAGAAGUGGCUGCAUCUCAGUGCAGGACAUGGUGGUGGACAAUGCAUUGAUCCCCAAUGCAGCCUUUGGUGCACAACAUGCUCUCAUUGGCUCCAAAUUCUUCCCCACUGUUCAGAGAGGCAACUGAAGGCAGGAGGAGUCUUGCAGUGGGUUCCCCAAGCAGGAAAACAUGAGCCAGGCUGUGCCAGAGCUGAAAGUCAGGAUGGCCCCUGGGCUGGAGCUGCUGUGGGAUGUUCCCAUCUAGAUGUCAGCUCUGCGGUCUGGGUGCAGGGAAUUAACCCAGACGUGGUUCCCAGGCUGGGGGAAGGGCCUAAUGAACAGAGACAGGAUAAAGAAGCAGGUAAGGGCUUCCUGUCUUUCAGGGCUCAGGAGGAAAUCCUGCAGCUGGUGAAUCUGGAUAUGAUUAGUGUCCAUUUCUCCCUGUGUAAUCAACCCAUCUGUUCAUCCCUGCGCAUUAGCAGCGCACACCCCACUGCAGGCAGAUGCCUCUCAGGCACUGCUUUUAUCUGUGCCUGCCAUGGCUGCUCCAUGCAGCCCAACAACACGGCUCAUUAUGCUGUCUCACUUGGUCGUGGAAGGGACCAAGCUUUCAGUCUUGCUCUGUAGAAACUCUGGUUAAAGUCAAUAGGUGCUGAUGCUGCUUCCUGAGGAGUCAUUCCACCUUCUUUCCCUUGGCAACCUUGCCCAACUAUGCAAAAACUUGUGUCAGCCCUGCAUUGGCUUGAAAACACAGGGCCAGAUGUCAGCCUGGGCUGAAAUGAGGUCAAAGAAGGAGCUAGCACGUGGAUCAAUCUGUUGUUGUAAUGCAAUGGUUCUUUAGGGUCUCUGGAAGGGUCAGGCUUGGUGGCACAGUCAAGACAAAAUCUAACAGCGACCAUUCCCAGCCCUGGUGUCCUUUAUACUCAAACAAUAUCAACAAGCUCUUGCUUGUGUCACAUUUUGUCACUGGGGCAUCUUGAGGGAUCUACCAUACUCAUUGUCAUCCAUACAUAGAAGAUAAAGACGGUCCUUACCCAAAGCAAAGCACACACUCAGCCCAGAUCUCUUGUGUGUGCUAAGCAAUCCAGGCACAAAGCUUCUGCCUUGUUCACAGAGAGCCAAAACCCAGCCAGAAACAAUCUGAGCCACGCAUCAGAGAUGAAAACAUCUUUGCUUUCAAGGGCCAUUUGUUGCUUAGCUUCUCAAUGCAACUUGUCAUCAUCCCCUGUUGCGUGGCUCAAGGCAGCACUUUGGGUCCUAGAUCCUCUGAUUUUUGUUUGCUUUCGAGUGCUGUGAUUUACCACUAAAGAAUAAAUGGAAAGCAAAAGAAAACAGCAGCUCAUGUUUGCAUAGGGCCUCCGUUGUUCUGUGCUCUGCCACUGCUGAAACAGAAGCAGUAAAUCCUGUUCUCUGGACAGAGAGGGGCUUUUGGGCAAUGGCUGCAUACAAGGCUGGGGAAGAUAAACAAGCAGAAAAAUGCUGCUUUUAGGAAAUGGCAGUGGAGGAUGGCCAACCCACGGACUGCUCAGAGCCAACACAGUGCCAUCAGUCAGCAAAGACUUACUGCUAUUAUCUCUCCGAGGCAUUUUUGCAUCAACAAAGAGGAAAGAGAUUGAUCUGUGUUAUGGUAUCUGUGGUCAAACUUGGCUGCAAUUAGGAAUAUGUAUGGUUUCGGAGUUGGAACAGGGGAAGUUUUGUCAUGAACUAUAGAAAAUGUGGGCAAACAACCUCUGUAACACCAACAGAACCAGGUUACAGCCUUCCCUAUGGGAAGUGAUCUCUGGAUGAGCUCAGGACUGACCAACAUCGAAACUAAUUUGGCUUAUGGAAUCACUUGCAGCAACAGCUUCAAAUUCAGUAUCUAAUGAGUCCCAGAGAUGUGGAAAAUGAAGCAGAGAUGUGGGACUCUGCUGAUUUGUGUUUCAGGUGAGCUCUAGCAUCAGUUUGAGCAAUGCCGGUAAGUUCAGCUCUUGUCUCUCUGGUAGAGGAGGAAGUGGCUGAUAAGAACCAGGAGCCCAUCCAUCCAAAGCCAGUGUCAGACCUUCAUGAAAUCUAUUGCCUCAAGCAAAUACGUUGUUCAAAAUACUGUUCAGUUAAUUAACAGAUUAACUAAUUAACCUUCCCACCAUCCCAGGUAGGGAGUAUCUGUCUCCCAGAGGAGCAAAAACAAAGGCAAAGUGACUCAGUAAGACUAGAUGCAGGAACUCAGCAAUGCAGUUGUGUUAAGUCUGGUGUUUUUCUUCCCAAAUCUUUUUGCUGUUGUACACCAUUCCCCCAUAGACAAAAACAGAGGAGGAGUCCUAAAGACUUCUGAGAAGGGGAUAUGGGGAGCAGUGCCACUGGAUGAGCCUGAAGAAGAAAAGAAUCAGCCCACAAAUAUACAGAGGAACAUUUGGGUUCACCCAUGUGCCUGCAUCAACUAAGGAAUAAAGCUGACACCCUUCCUCCCUGUUCAAAAGGAAAGUUUUUCUCAGCAUCAAAGGAAGAAAAUUCCUUUGCUUCUUACUCACAUUUUCAUCCCCUCUAAAAUUUAUGAGCCAGGAGCCAAAUGGUCAGUGUGGGGAGGAGGAGCAUCUGCAAUAAGGCAGUGGGGCUACAUUUGUAUGGGCUCACAUGGAGGGAAUAACCAGAAGGAGAAGACCUGAAGAGACUCCAGUAAACAGCCAGAGGGAACGCUUUGAUACUGAGGAAGUCCAAAGACACAAACACAUGAUGAUGAGCAGCUGACUGCCACAGCUGUACAACAUGGUAAGAACAAAUCCAGAGCUAAAGCACAAGGACUUUGGCUUGCAAGACCCCUGGCAGCAUCACAGACCCUGUCUGAAGAGCCCUCAUCUCAAACAGAAUUUGGCAGUCUUUUUUUCUCCCCAUCCAUCUCUGAUCCAAAGCCAAAAAGCAUCCUUUGUUCUAACUACCAUCAAACAACGAUCCUUGGCAGAAAGUAGACUCACACUGAAGGAUGACCACCAGCUCCUGCAUUUGGUAAUUAUUAUCUGGUCUACCACCAGUGCAGGCUGCAGAUUGGAGGCCAUGAGGACGUCCCCUCAUCAGUAGGCUUUGCUGUCCCAAACCCCACUGAAACAAACAAGACUUGGAUCUCUCAAAUACCUCCAAAGUUACCAAACUUUGUUGGCACAAAUAGCACAAACUCACCCUUGAAGGAGAUCUCACAGCUGCCCACCAAGCCUGCAUGGAAAGUCGGGACAAAUGCUGACAGAUGAUGCUCAACUUAAGAAGUAAUGCAUCCACAGCCAUUUUCACCUGGAGAUCUUAGGAUCAUCUGCAGGAAGUUGGGGAUAUAGUGAGAAACAGCAGUUAUGAGAAGUCUGAGCAGCCUUGGUUUGGCUGGUUUUAGUCACAAAGAGACCUCACCUACAUUGUGGACGAUGGGCAGGGUACAGGUGAUGCUCACACACUGCUCAGGAAUAUCAAAGAUGGCUUAUGUGGUUUGGUUUGGUUUGGUUUGGUUUGGUUUGGUUUGGUUUGGUUUGGUUUGGUUUGGUUUGGUUUGGUUUGGUUUGGAAGGGAAAGCAGAUGGUUCAUUCUUCAUAUCCAACCAUUGGGGAACCUGUAUCCCAAAGGCCUCGCUGGCUGCCCUGGGUUCUUCUCCCCCUCCCCACACUCUCCUGAGGGUGUUAUUCACACCAUUUCCUUCCCAUGAAAGUACAGGAGUUGGAUGUUACCAGGUUGGUUUCCAUUCUCCUGCCCUGCUCCCAAUUCACAGAGAACAACCCCACGGAGCUGGUCAUGGAGGUGCUGCCAGGACCUGGCAAUGACACGUAACCCCUUCCAGGACCUCAACCAGCUCACGUGUGCUUGAAACCCUGACCCACAGUCCCAUAUGUGGCCACUCAAGCCAAAGCAAGAGGCAGGGAGGACAGAACCGGGCAUCUCUGCCAAGCUGUUCCGUUCCCAUUGCAUCCAACCCUCCCUUUUCCCCUCCCUUCCCUUUCUUCCCUCCCAUCUCCAGUGAACAAAAUGGCUGCAUGGCCAUUUUGUUUUCAGCCUGGAAGGGGGAAGCGAGGACGCCGGGACUUGGCUCUUUCUUGGAGGAGGCUGCGGCCAUGUUGGAGCCCAACUCUCCCGUCUCGACGUGGCACCGGCUGUGGGAGGGAAAAAAAAAAGAGAGAGAGAGAGGAAAAAAAAAAAAAGGACCUUUUGGAAGGAGACCAAAGUCAGAGACAGAGAGUGGGCAGUUUUGGCAUAUGUUUGAGCAUUGAAAAUGCCUGGAAUUGCCAAAGCGAGCUUUUGUUGUGAGCAGGGUAAGGCUGCUGGGUGCACGCUGAGCCGCGGGGCUGCACGGUUACAGCCGGACGGAAAGUGAUUCUGCAUUUCCUUCAGUUGCUGGGAUGGCUUCACAGUUCGCAGUCGCGGCUCUUUCUUUGCUCCCAGGAUGGCAGAAAGGAAUGGAUUUCUGGUGAUAUAACGGGGAUCAGCUCUGCUGUGGGUCAGCAUUAGGGUGGUCUCACCUCUGCUGGAAGGGUUGCUGGACGUUUGGAGAGAUGCUGGGAGCAAAAAACAGGAGCAGGGGGAUCGCUGUCCUUGCAUAGAAAGGAGCCACUGAGCUAUCAGAGUCAGUACCUGGAUAAGGAUCAUCUUGUUGCACUAGAUGGCAAUGGUCCCAAGCUGUCCUUGAGGCUGAGGUAGUAGAUUGAAUAGUUGUGGAGUCCUAUCCUCCCUCUGAGCUAACUAUACAAUCUACUGUCUUUCCUAAGGAGACAGUCAGAUCUUCAGUUCAUCUGCUUCGACACAAAGCAUGGAGAUGGGUGGUGCAAGAAAUCCUGACCUUCCAUAAAGCCAAGGAAUCACACCAGACCUCUGCACUGCUCUGUGGAGGUGAGGUAGUAGGUUGUAUAGUUUGGUGGGAGGGAUUCUAUCCCAUUUCAGGUGAUAACUAUACAGUCUAUUGCCUUCCUUAAAGAGCAGCAGUACCACCGGAGGAGCGGCUGGAGCAAAACCAGCACAUUGCAGUGUUGAAUAACACAGUGGGUCUUCUCCUACAGCAUCCAGGAUUGUGCUAUUCCAGAGAAUAACUACAUAAUAUCUACAUAAAGAAAAACACAUCUCUCAUUUUAAGAGAAACAGUGACAUGAGCUGGCUUAGCCUGUGGACUCAAAGCCCUGUGAGCUGAUCAGAUUUGGGCUGGUUGGCCUCUGGAAGUGCUUUCUGGUUUUGGAUAAGUUCCCAGCUUUCCCAUGGGGCAGUUCUUUCUGAUUUGAUAAUCUCUAGCAACCCAACUCACAUGCAAAUCCUGCUGGAGAGAUUAGGGCUCCUAUGGAUUUACAUAGGAUAAGCCAGCAGUUCAGACCAAUGCUCCAUCCUUACUCAUGAGACAGGUGAGAAAGAGAGAUGAGCCAAAGGCAGCAAGUCCUAAACCUUCUUGUUCCUGCCAGGUAGGUGGCACUGACAUCAGACAUCUGCAGGAGAUGACAGCCUGCUUCAGAGCUCUGGCACUUGACAAGGGACAGGGAAUGGUUAUUUCUUCCCUUUGUGAGAAGCAGGUGGGACAACCCCUGUGCCACAUUCCAGAGUAAAUAGAAUCCAGAUGACAAGAGGGACUGUAACCCGAUGAGGGCUGCACCAGUUUCUCAAGACUGAAGGAUGUCUCGGGACAUUAUCACUGGCAUCUCAGUGCCAGGGAAACGUGUGAGAUCUGAGACACUGAGGAGCAAGGGCAAAGCGAGGGCACCUUCUCAGAUGAAUUUAGAGGCAGUAACAAAUCGGAGCCCUCAAAUUUCACCCUGGAAGCGACACGCGGGGCGACUCAAACCUGGCUGCUUGGGCUUAUGGGACUCCCAUCAGUGAAGCAGCUCAUUUAAGGCUCCUCUGCUUCUUGGGAUAGGGUGUAGCUUCAGCAAGGCUGGGACUGGACUUCCUCGGGCUGGGUAACAGCUGGAGGGUGGGGAUGCUGGAGUAUCUAGCAGCAGAGGAAUGCAGCCCUCUGCUCCGUACAUCUGGCUUUCCUCUUCUCCUGCCUCCUCAGGGGAAGGGCUUCUACCCCCAGCAUUGCUCACAAGGUACCAAAACAGCAGCACAACUAUGGGAACAGGGCAGCACAUCAGCUUCAUGUUUAAGAUGCAUCCCCUGGAGGAGGAUUCAUCCUGCGGGUCCCAAAUGAAAUCAGUUCAGUCCCCAUCCGCUGCACUGAUGUUAAUGCAGAGAAUUUUAAGCAGUGUGAGAUGAAAAGCACGAAUAAAACUCCACCAGAGACCCUCUUCUGUGAAAAUAAACUUGCUUUGACUAUUGUA